rnacentral:rRNA from 1 species
AAGAUCUUAAGCCCAUGCGAGUCGAACGAGUUUAGGCUCGUGGCGUACGGCUCAGUAACACGUGGAUAACCUACCCUUAGGACCGGGAUAACCCUGGGAAACUGGGGAUAAUACUGGAUAGGCAAUUUUUCCUGUAAUGGUUUUUUGUUUAAAUGUUUUUUCGCCUAAGGAUGGGUCUGCGGCCGAUUAGGUAGUUGGUUAGGUAAUGGCUUACCAAGCCGUUGAUCGGUACGGGUUGUGAGAGCAAGAGCCCGGAGAUGGAACCUGAGACAAGGUUCCAGGCCCUACGGGGUGCAGCAGGCGCGAAACCUCCGCAAUGUGAGAAAUCGCGACGGGGGGAUCCCAAGUGCCAUUCUUAACGGGAUGGCUUUUCAUUAGUGUAAAAAGCUUUUGGAAUAAGAGCUGGGCAAGACCGGUGCCAGCCGCCGCGGUAACACCGGCAGCUCUAGUGGUAGCAAUUUUUAUUGGGCCUAAAGCGUCCGUAGCCGGUUUAAUAAGUCUCUGGUGAAAUCCUGUAGCUUAACUGUGGGAAUUGCUGGAGAUACUAUUAGACUUGAGACCGGGAGAGGUUAGAGGUACUCCCAGGGUAGAGGUGAAAUUCUGUAAUCCUGGGAGGACCGCCUGUUGCGAAGGCGUCUAACUGGAACGGUUCUGACGGUGAGGGACGAAAAUUAGGGGCGCGAACCGGAUUAGAUACCCGGGUAGUCCUAACUGUAAACGAUGCGGACUUGGUGUUGGGGUGGCUUUGAGCUGCUCCAGUGCCGAAGGGAAGCUGUUAAGUCCACCGCCUGGGAAGUACGGUCGCAAGACUGAAACUUAAAGGAAUUGGCGGGGGAGCACCACAACGCGUGGAGCCUGCGGUUUAAUUGGAUUCAACGCCGGACAUCUCACCAGAGGCGACAGCUGUAUGAUAGCCAGGUUGAUGACUUUGCUUGACUAGCUGAGAGGAGGUGCAUGGCC